rnacentral:rRNA from 1 species
CAGUAGCCACGGUAACACCGAGGGUGCAAGCGUUAAUCGGAAUUACUGGGCGUAAAGCGCGCGUAGGUGGUUUGUUAAGUUGGAUGUGAAAUCCCCGGGCUCAACCUGGGAACUGCAUCCAAAACUGGCAAGCUAGAGUAUGGUAGAGGGUGGUGGAAUUUCCUGUGUAGCGGUGAAAUGCGUAGAUAUAGGAAGGAACACCAGUGGCGAAGGCGACCACCUGGACUGAUACUGACACUGAGGUGCGAAAGCGUGGGGAGCAAACAGGAUUAGAUACCCCUGUAGUCCCUGUCUCUUAUAC